rnacentral:lncRNA from 1 species
CUUGUUAUUGCCAGUGAUGUUAAUCCAUUGUUUAUGAUACAAUUUAUGGCAAAUAAGAUUUAGAUAGGAAUGACAUGGAACACAAUACUAUUGUGAAUUGGUGUAGCCCUGGUGUCUUUUGGUAUAUCAACUAUCUAUUUCGAGUUGUAUUUCAGCAUCAAACGUUUCAUGAUAUUUAUAGAUAGUAAUAACUUCUCCUGCAGGAUGAAGGAACUGGCUGAGAUAUUGCAUCCAGUUACACGAAGUUUUUUAACUACAAUUAUCAUAACUGUUUGAAUGUGAAUUCAUGUAAAUAAAAACACAUUUUGUCCAAAC